AUUCCAGCUCCAAUAGCGUAUAUUAAUGUUGUUGCAGUUAAAAAGCUCGUAGUUGGAUUUCUGCGCCGCGCAACUCGGUCCGCUGCACUGCAGUGUGAUGUGUGGUUGGAGCGUCGCAUCCUUGUGGGGACUGUUUGUGUCAUUAAUUUGAUGGAUUCCGGAACCGCAUCGUUUACUGUGAAAAAAUUAGAGUGUUCAAAGCAGGCUUAUGCCGUGAAUACAUUAGCAUGGAAUAACGAAUGGGUCUACAAUUUGGUUGAUUGUAGAUUGCGAUUAAUAGGGACAGUUGGGGGCAUUAGUAUUUAAUUGUCAGAGGUGAAGUUCUUGGAUUAGUUAAAGACUAACGUAUGCGAAAGCAUUUGCCAAGGAUGUUUUCAUUG
rnacentral:rRNA from 1 species